GGCUCGAGGGAGGGAGAGGGAGGUGCUCAGGACACCGGUGCUGGGGGAGGGGUGGACCUGAAGCCCAGGUCAGGUGGGCGGGGGCAGGGAGGACCCUGUGAGAAGACCUCCCCCCGCCCCGCCCCCGACCCAGGACCUUGUGCGGGCGGGGCUCAAGGCAGAGAAAACCAAUUGCAGGCCCUAGAUUCUGUCUACAGAAUAGCUCCCCUCCCGGCUUCCAUCUCCACCACAGCAAACCCAAAGCACCCCAAAAGGGAAGGCCUGGUAGAGGAGAGAGGAGGGCCCCAGGGUGGGGGUGGGGAGAUACCUAAUCAGCCAGCCUCCUACCUGGACAGUUUCGUGGGAAAUCAUAAGAACAGUUACAACCUCACUAAGAGCAACUCGCAAACAAACCUGGCGAUAAGGCAGGCCCUUGAUCAGACAAAGAGUAUCUCUCACUCUCCAGCCGCUGAUGCCAGUGUAUUUCUGAGUCAUCACUAUUCAAAGUAUCCACCAGAAAGACUGAGAACACAGCACCAGCAAUGUCUAGGGAAAUGAAACACACACACACACACACAGAAGGACAUCCAGGCCACGCUGGGCUAAGAAAUAUGGAUGCUCCUCCUCAGCCAGAUUGUCCCCCAAGCUCUGGGGCCUCCAGAAUGGUCUACUUUCUCUCUUCUGUAAGCAACAGAGUAAGAAUACAGGCUUCCAUCCCAUCUCACUGGAGCACUGGGGUCACGGCAUCUGGCCCUGUUUGUCCUGGCAGAUGUGGACAAACAGGUGCCAGCCCCUGGCCAGAUGCCACUCUGGAUCCAUCAGGUGUGCUAGGUGGAGGACCCACACUAGCGAGCACCUCCAGAGUCCAGCCAAGGGCAUGCAGUCUUGCAUUCUUGGUCCAAGGCUUCACCUCACAGAAGUGGCUUGUAAUCCUUUCAAACCUGUCUGGAAUCAGAGGGGCACCUGCUGGUCCAGAACCAUCAGUCAAGCAGAAGGAAACAUGGCUCAUCUGCAAUGCUGCAUGUUCCCUGGCUGCCUGCAUCCCCAAACAGAAAAAAGAAAAAAGCCAACCAAGCCGUGCUAGGCUCAAAAAUAGCCAACCAUCAUCUACUAACCCCAGAACCUGUGAAUGCUACCUUAUGUGAAAAGGAAAAAAUUGCACAAGUGAUUAAGUUAAGGAUCUGGAGAUGAGGAGGGGGCCCUGGAUUGACACAGCCCCAGACAUCAGUGCCAUCACACAUAUCUUUAUAAGAGGAAGGCAGAAAGAGACUUGAGACACACAGAGGCUGCGUAAAGAUGGAGCAGAGAGAUUGAAGACGCCGCCUGAAGUUGGAGGGAAUGCAGCUACCAGCAAGGAAUGGUGGCAGCCACCAGAAGCUGGAAAACCACAGAAUGAAUUUUCCCAGGAGCCUCUGGAAGGAGCACAGUCCUGCCACCACCUUGAUUUCAGCCCCAGUAAACUGAUCUCAGACUUCUGGCUUCCAGAACUGUGAGAGGAUAAAUUUCUGCCACACAACCCAAGCACGGGGCACAGUCUUUCAUUUCUGGGGAGAACGAUUUCUGCAGUUUUUUGCCACCCAGCUUGUGGUAAUUUGUCACAGCAGCCACCAGAAACUAAUAUGGAAUACUUAAAGUGAUGGAGAAACUCUUCCUCAGGAAAAAACAAAACCAAGGGAAUUUAUUGCCAGCAGACCAACCCCGUAAGAAAUGUUCAAAUGAGUUAUUUAGGCAAAAGGAAAAUUAUACCGGGCAGAAACUUGGAUUAACAUAACGAAAGGAAGCGGCCAGGAGAAGGAAUAAGUGAAGAAAUGAAGGACUGUGCUUGAGUUUUGUGGUGUCCGAAUGUGUCCCCCCUUCAUCCCUGAGCCCAGCACACACCUCUUCUUGGACACCUGUGGAUUCAGUGCUCCAAGGCUCUAGCUGGGACAGAUGGGCACCAGGUGUGAACUUUCUUUCCAGCUUACAGGUGCUAUUUUUGGAACUAGCUGAGAAUAUGGAAAUGACACCAAGAAAGGCAAACUCUCACUGAAGUCACUGGACCCGCUAAGCUGAUGGCUUGUGCAGAGCCAGCACGAGGACACUUGGGUGAGAGUCACCUGAGAGUCCAUGCCUCCCAUGUCUGCUUGUCUUAGAGAAUUCAUUCUGACUCUGAACAUAGCUAAAAUGGAAUCCAGGGACUGUGGACAAAGCACCCAGCGGAGAUUGUUAGAGGGCAGUGAAGCUGGGCAGCUGGGAAGAGUGGCCCCAGGCACCAGAGGCCUUCGUGGACCUGGCUUUGGCCUCUGCCUGGUGACUCAAGUGUGGAGAAUGUCCGUCCAUUUUCAUGUGUUCUGAGCUUGUGCCUUUACUGCUGGAGGCUGGGCUCUCUGCUGGCCUCCAGUCCCACCUCUUGCAUUGGUGCAGCCAUGUGUCUGAGCUCUGGCCACCCCUCUUGCUCACUCUCACCUGCUGGCCAGGUGCAAACAAGGUAGUGGAGAACUCCAGCAGGAGGUAGCCCAGUUCCUGGCUGGACGGAUCUGACUCUUGACUGGCAGCAUGGGGCAGAGCCCCCACCCCUGCUUGCCAGCCUCAGACUAAUUGAAAGUUUUGUUUCGUAUUUAGCUGCUGCUUUUGUGGUCUGUGUGUUUGAUUCCAUAAAUAUGUACUCCUUACCAGA